rnacentral:rRNA from 1 species
AACGAACGCUGGCGGCAUGCCUAACACAUGCAAGUCGAACGAACCCUUCGGGGUUAGUGGCGCACGGGUGCGUAACGCGUGGGAAUCUGCCCUUUGCUUCGGAAUAACAGUUAGAAAUGACUGCUAAUACCGGAUGAUGUCUUCGGACCAAAGAUUUAUCGGCAAGGGAUGAGCCCGCGUAGGAUUAGGUAGUUGGUGGGGUAAAGGCCUACCAAGCCGACGAUCCUUAGCUGGUCUGAGAGGAUGAUCAGCCACACUGGGACUGAGACACGGCCCAGACUCCUACGGGAGGCAGCAGUGGGGAAUAUUGGACAAUGGGCGCAAGCCUGAUCCAGCAAUGCCGCGUGAGUGAUGAAGGCCUUCGGGUCGUAAAGCUCUUUUACCAGGGAUGAUAAUGACAGUACCUGGAGAAUAAGCUCCGGCUAACUCCGUGCCAGCAGCCGCCGUAAUAC